rnacentral:rRNA from 1 species
UACGGAGGGUGCGAGCGUUGUCCGGAAUCAUUGGGCGUAAAGGGCGCGUAGGUGGCGGCUUAAGCGUGCGGUGAAAGCUCGGGGCUCAACCCCGAGUCGGCCGUGCGAACUGAGUCGCUUGAGCACUGUAGAGGCAGGCGGAAUUCCGGGUGUAGCGGUGAAAUGCGCAGAUAUCAGGAGGAACACCGGUGGCGAAGGCGGGUCUCUGGGCCGAUACUGACGCUGAGGAGCGAAAGCGUGGGGAGCGAACAGG